GCCAAACUCCUGUUUUUGUAUAUCCAAGAAUGUGUGGAAUGCAGGAUUGUUGCCACCAAAAUUUAUUGACACACCGAAACCACUCACACAUUACAAAGUGGUCGCAUCAGAGACCCCCAUUGCCGCCAUUACAUGUGAUGGAUUGAAACCAUGGUCUCACCACAUAUCCCAACCAGUUACUGCAAUUGUGUAGGUAGGCUACAAUAGGCUACAUUGACUUCCGCAUCUCUUAUGAACCAACAAUCAUGCACUGGUGAUGGAGAAAAACAAGGUCACCUGACUUGGCUACGCCGGCGCCAUCUUGCCAGCAAAAUGCAAUACAGUGAAAUGUAAUUUAUUGAUGAUUAAAACGAACAAAAAUCAUUAACAUUACCUAUCAUUGAGGUCAGUUCUGUAUGGCGCUCCGACAUUGCUUUAAAAAGCAUGGAAAACGUAAAGCUUUACGCGCUACUAAUUGUUUUUUCUCAAAUGCACCGACUUUGCUGGCUGAGAGAACACAUUUGAUGAGAAGCUGUCGCUCAUGUCAUGUACAUUUCAGGUCAUUUCGUUCUCGACAGUCUUCUUCCACUUUCCUGGCCAGUUUCCGCACCGUGCCUGCAGGAUCAUUUGGAACCAUUUUUGGGUAUUGCUGUUUGUCGCAUUUGCCAGCACCAUAUUUCCGCUGGGUGUGUCCCUCUGACUAUAUGCCCUUGUUCUGCCUUGAAUGUGAGAAGAGAACUGCAUACUGCGUGUUUCUUGUGCGCAGAGCAGUUUUCCACGUCGCUCGACCUUUCCCGCAACCAUCUCUCCCUCCCUUGCUCUGAAUAGAGCUCAAACUCAAACAUUUCCGCUUGAGACGAGGGGAAUAGGCAGGCUCGUUUGUAGGAAAAUAGCAACAUCAGGUAACUCUAUCAGGUCAGGUUGCUCUAAUGAUGUGUACAUUUGUAGCAACAUCGUAUUAUAGUAGCCUACUUUUGUAAAUGCAUUUACAAAAAGCCUACUUGCCUAUUUAGAGGAGUGGCCGGUUUUGGUUACACGAGGAAUAUGUUUCUUAAUAUAGCUAACACUUAUGUAGCUAAGGCUAAACUGGAGCCAAACAUUCUAAUUUCUAGGCUUCUAUUACUAAACAGCAUAACUCCAGUAGGCUACUUUGUAGGAAUGACCUUGUUACUACACAGGUAUACGACAAUUGGAGGAAACAUACAUAAUGCAGCCUGUAUGCUAUCUUUAACGGCACUCUCCCAUCUAUUUUGGUUUGAACUGAAACAACGUUACAGGAGUAGCCCCCUGGCACACUAUGAAUACAGGUUGAAUGGUGGCCUAGAGUUAACAAAUGAACAUUUACGAGUACUACGUGUGUAUGCAUGAAAGAUGCCACUUCCCAAAUGUAAUGUUUUAAUUCCAAAGGCCCAGAUGCAUUGCAGUCCUUCCUCCUACCUAGCAGGUAAUACAACUGAGUGUGAUGUAGUCGUUUUGAUUCAAGUUGAUUCAGGACCUACACAAAGACAGUUUUGUAGCCUAUAGGCCUAUACUAAGAGCUUAGGAUAUUUCGUUUUUUACAUAGGCCUAGUUGUCAUGUUGCAACUUGCUUGACUAGAUACAUUUUGCUUCAAUAAGCCUAUCAAGCUCAUGUAUUCACAUGUAGGCUGUUAAAUCACAGCUGCACAGCUCCACACCAUUGCCAUCUAGUGGUGGAUACAGUGCCUUGCCUACUUUAUUUCUAUGUAGCAGACAGGCAGCAUUAGGUCAUUAUUAUAUAUCAGCAGGGUAUGAUAUUUCUUAUAUAAGAGCUGGAAGCACCAGAAGGAAAUGUGCCAGCCCAGUAUGGCUGCAAGAGCACAACUUUAAAUGGUUGGGGGUAACAUAGUAAUUAUUGGAGGAUGAUGCAGCCAUGUGUUUUUAUUUAACCAGGCAAGUCAGUUAAGAACAAAUUCUUAUUUACAAUGACAGCCUACCACGGCCAAACCUGGAUGAUGCUGGGCCAAUUGUGGGCUGCCCUAUGGGACUUCCAAUCACAGCCGGUUGUGAUACAGCCUGGAAUCGAAGCAGGUUAUAACCUAAAGCUUGGGGUAUCAGUGGACUCUUCCUCAUACCAACGUGGGAUCCAGA